rnacentral:rRNA from 1 species
CGAGUAACCUGCCCUUAACUCUGGGAUAAGCCUGGGAAACUGGGUCUAAUACCGGAUAUGACUCCUCAUCGCAUGGUGGGGGGUGGAAAGCUUUAUUAUGGUUUUGGAUGGACUCGCGGCCUAUCAGCUUGUUGGUGAGGUAAUGGCUCACCAAGGCGACGACGGGUAGCCGGCCUGAGAGGGUGACCGGCCACACUGGGACUGAGACACGGCCCAGACUCCGUACGGGAGCAG